CCCCCGCACCACUGCGCCCGCGCACCCCUGAACUCGAAGGGGUGGGUGGGAGUUGGUCUCCUUUUGCUCCACUGCGCUUGCGCGGCAGACUCAGGGCUGGGCUUUUUUUCUGGCGCUGGGAGUCCUGGUCAUGACAGACCCCUAGAGGCUGUGGUCUGAAAUGCUCGCUGGGUUUUGGCCCUAUCGCUUCAAAGCUCCACCUCCGUCCUCCACCUCCCCCACCCCCCACUCCUGGUAUGAAGCCUCUAAUUUAAGAAGCACCUUUGGAGAAAUAGAAGAUGAUAAGACGUGAAGGAGCCACAGACCCUAACACCAUGACCACUAAAGCCCUGAUGACUCCUGCCUGCAUCUCUUCCUGCCAAGUGUCACCAGAAAACCUCUGCCCCAUUGCCAUCUACUACCCUCACAUGACCUCCCUAGCCUCUGAAAGCAGACACUGGGAUGCUAAGAGAAUCAAAUACGAAGAACCAAGGACUGGCCUCCCAAAUGUGUGUUCUCAGAUUUUGCUGAUGGUAAAGAAUGAGAAUUG